rnacentral:rRNA from 1 species
GUGCAGCAGGCGAGAAACUUCACAAUGUGCGAAAGCACGAUGAGGGAAUCCCAAGUGCUUGCACGUAAGUGUAAGCUGUUCUCUGUCUAAAACGCAGAGAGAGUAAGGGCUGGGUAAGACGGGGUGCCAGCCGCCGCGGUAAUACCUGCAGCUCGAGUGGUGACCGUUAUUAUUGGGCCUAAAACGUCCGUAGCCGGUUUAAUAAAUGCCUGGGGUAAAUCGGACCGCUUAACGGUUCGAAUUCCGGGUAGACUGUUAAACUUGAGACCGGGAGAAGUUAGAGGUACUCCUGGGGUAGAGGUGAAAUUCUGUAAUCCCUAGGGGGACCACCAGUGGCGAAGGCGUCGUAACUAGAACGGGUCUGACGGUGAGGGACGAAG